rnacentral:rRNA from 1 species
GACUUUUUAAAUUUGAACUCUAAUUGGUGUUAUAUCUAGAAUUUAUUUAAAUGAUUUUUUUGUUUAUAGGUAAAAUCAGAAUAUUUGACUUAUUUUGUCUAGAUUUUUAAGAUUUGUUAAUAGAAGUGGAUUAGUACCCGCGUAUUCAAAAUUUAAAAGAGCAGGAGUAAAGUUGUGUUUAAACUGAAAAGAUAUUGGCAGAUUUCUAAAUAAUCUUUGGAGGUUGAGUAGUAAUUGAGAACCCCCAUUUUUAACUCUUAUUUUUGAUUCAUGUAUGAUCGUUUAUUUAAUUUUUAAGAAUUAUAAGAAAAGAUGUUUGACUAUAAAAAUAGAUAUAUACCUGGUUUAUGUGAGAGAUUUAAUUUGACCUACAUUAGCUAAUUUUGUGGAUUUUAAAUAUAGAUUUUAAAUGAAAAUGUAAAAGACAGUAAAACUAUAUUUAAUGUUGGUUUGAAGUUUAUUUAGAGAU